rnacentral:rRNA from 1 species
UAGGGAAUCUUCCACAAUGGACGAAAGUCUGAUGGAGCAACGCCGCGUGAGUGAAGAAGGUUUUCGGAUCGUAAAACUCUGUUGUUGGAGAAGAACGUAUUUGAUAGUAACUGAUCAGGUAGUGACGGUAUCCAACCAGAAAGCCACGGCUAACUACGUGCCU